GGCGGAGAAGGGAAAGCGACGCACGGCUCAGCAGUUCCUCGAGGGGACACUGCUGAGCCGCCUCGGCCCCCAUCCGCAGACCGCCCUCCGCAGCCAGUUCAGCCGCUGGCCCAGUAGGCUGAUGGAGGCACGGCGGUGGCCUCACCGGGACACUGUACUGGCUGGCCUGUGACGACGGGAAGGACUAAUUCUCAGGAUUGAAAGGGACCUUCCAGGUCAUCUGUUCAAACCUCUCACCCUGUCAUGGAAGAAACAGGGCUGGGUUUUAUUGUUUGUUUUUUUCUGAGUACAUACUAUGUACAAGGCCCCAAACAAAUAUAGACACAGCAUUCUCCCCACCUGCAGUGAAAACUAGUGGCAGAGGCAAAGAAAGGAAGAGUUGCAGUACAGUGUCAAGAUAGAGACUCCUUCUUGGGACUUCCCUCAUGGUCCGGUGGUUAAGAAAGACUCCACACUACUGAUGCAGGGGGCCUGGGUUCGAUGCCUGGUCGGGGAACUACAUCCCACAUGCCGCAACUUAAGAGUUCAGAUGCCACAACUGAAAGAUCCCACAUGCCGCAAUGAAGAUCCCACAUGCUGCAACAAAGACCUGGCACAGCCAAAUAAAUAAAUAUUUUUUA